UUAUAUUGUAAGUAGACUUGCUAGGCAUGCUGAUAGUAGGCAAGAACAUUGAUUGAAGUGAUCCUAUCUGUCCAUUUUCUUCCCCUCUUGCCUUUGUUGGAUGAGUAGCUUUGAAUUGAUUAAUUAAUGUGGGUUUAAAAACUUCCAAGUUAUUAGUGGAGACAACCAACAUUAGUGAUGACUUGCUUCCCUAACAGCCUAGCUGUCCCCUUGAUUGGAUGUUGAUGUGAGAUGAAUUGGACUUAGAAUCAAGAGAUAGGUAUCUCUCAAUGUUGUCCAGCUAUGCAACCCAAGAG
rnacentral:lncRNA from 1 species